GAAUCACAUUGCUGAAGCAGUGAAUUCAUCUUAAAUGCCAUCCUCAAGAUAACAUUCUGUAGCUCAAAUGGCAGUGCCCAGUGCUUUAAUUAUUUCACUUUAGAGUGAGAGCCAUGCUGUUCUUACACACUAGGAGAGAAAUGAAUUCUGCACUUGAGUAAGUCCGGUACAAGUUUGGGAACUACUGAGUGAAAGCCAAUGCAUCAAUGCCUCUCUGACACUGAAGAAGAGAGCCCAGCCUUAAUCAGAUUCAAUAAGGAAUUUUCAGCCUAUCCUAAGCCAGGAUAUUUUCGAAGAGAGAUUUUCGCGUCUUUCUUUGGGGAGCGAUGGAGAGAGAGGACGCAAAUGGAGAGAGUUGGAAGACCACCAGAUGGAGUGGACUGAGGAGUGAGGGUCCGAGGGCCGGCUACGCUUGGAGGUCAGCGACGCUCGGAGGAGGUUGAUGGUUGAUGAAUAGGCGUAUCAGUGAGCU